rnacentral:rRNA from 1 species
AUGAAAGAGAUGUUGUUCAAAAAGCACAUCCUUGGUGUUGUGGUAGCGCAUGUGUAUGUCGUCGAGUUCCAGAAGAGGGGCCUCCCCCAUGCACACUUCCUGUUGAUCAUGAAUUCAAAUUAUAAACUCGUGGUGCCAGAGCAGUAUGACCGCAUCAUAUCUGCAGAGCUCCCAGACAGGCAUAAGUAUCCAGAGCUCUAUGCCAUGGUCGUGAAGCAUAUGAUGCACGGCCCAUGUGGCAAUCUUAAUCCCAAAAAUGUGUGCAUGCAAGACUUGAAGUGCAAGAGCAAGUACCCACGACCGUUCAACCAAAACACCUUACAAGGGAAGGAUUCAUACCCGGUUUAUCGACGGCGAGACGAUGGUCGUCAGGCUAAGGUCCGUCGUCAAAUGUUGGAUAACAGAUGGGUCGUGCCUUACAACCCUUAUCUGUUGCGGAUGUUCAACUGCCACAUAAAUGUCGAGGUGUGCUCCAGCAUCAAGGCCGUCAAGUACCUUUACAAAUACGUAUACAAGGGUCACGAUCGAGCUUCAUUCAGCAUUGACCAGCCUGACAGCAACGGGGUUGUAGACGAGAUUAAAAGGUACGUUGAUGCGAGAUGGGUUACUCCACCAGAGGCAAUGUGGAGGAUAUUCGGCUUCAACCUUUCUGGGAGUUUCCCGUCGGUCCUACAGUUGCCGCUUCAUCUCCCUAAUAUGAAUAGUGUCACGUUCAAAGCAGGAGAGGACCUGACUGAUGUCGUCGCCCGUGAUACUGCAUCUAAGUCAAUGCUGACAGAGUAUUUCCUCGCUAAUCAGCAGCAUGUGUGGGCUCGGGAUAUCCUGUACAAGGACUU